rnacentral:rRNA from 1 species
UACGUAGGGUGCAAGCGUUAAUCGGAAUUACUGGGCGUAAAGCGUGCGCAGGCGGCUUCGCAAGUCAGGCGUGAAAGCCCCGGGCUUAACCUGGGAAUUGCGCUUGAAACUACGGUGCUGGAGUGCGGCAGAGGAAGGUGGAAUUCCACGUGUAGCGGUGAAAUGCGUAGAGAUGUGGAGGAACACCAAUGGCGAAGGCAGCCUUCUGGGUCGACACUGACGCUCAUGCACGAAAGCGUGGGGAGCAAACAGG